rnacentral:rRNA from 1 species
UGGGGAAUAUUGCACAAUGGAGGGAACUCUGAUGCAGCGACGCCGCGUGAACGAAGAAGGCUUUCGAGUCGUAAAGUUCUUUUAUAUGGGAAGAUAAUGACGGUACCAUAAGAAAAAGCCCCGGCUAACUACGUGCCAGCAGCCGCGGUAAUACGUAGGGGGCUAGCGUUGUCCGGGAUCACUGGGCGUAAAGGGUUCGCAGGCGGAAAUGCAAGUCAGGUGUAAAAGGCAGUAGCUUAACUACUGUAAGCAUUUGAAACUGCAUAUCUUGAGAAGAGUAGAGGUAAGUGGAAUUUUUAGUGUAGCGGUGAAAUGCGUAGAUAUUAAAAAGAAUACCGGUGGCGAAGGCGGCUUACUGGGCUCAUUCUGACGCUGAGGAACGAAAGCGUGGGUAGCAAACAGG